GUCGUGAAUCCAGUUCGAACAACAACCGCCAACACCUGUGCACAAAGAAGCGGAUACGCGACGUGAAGAAAGAAGUUACGAAAUAUCAUACAUGGAAGGAGGCUUUCGGAGGAUCUUCAUUGGAGAAGAAAACGUGAAGAAUUUGUUUAGAAACUCACGUGACAUCCUGAGCUGUCAUGGUUCUAAGUUUCUUGACGUAAUAGCUCGUGUGUUUGCCCUGAAACCUUUCAAUAAGCAAAACCGUAUCGGCUUCCUCGAGUCGACACUUGGAGUGGGUCGAAAGCAGCAUCAGUCGUGGAACCCAGUGAAAAAUCAACCGGAGGAGGCCGCCGGUAAUGAUGAUGAGAAACCAGGUGAUGAGCGUGUACUUCUGAUUUCUUCGGAAUCUGUUCGCAAAAAAAGAGAAUAGAAAUAAAUAGAGAACCAGUUCUGUGGCGUCCUACUACCUGACA